UUAUCGGAGAGUUUGAUCCUGGCUCAGGACGAACGCUGGCGGCGUGCCUAAUACAUGCAAGUCGAGCGGACAGAUGGGAGCUUGCUCCCUGAUGUUAGCGGCGGACGGGUGAGUAACACGUGGGU
rnacentral:rRNA from 3 species